GUGCUUACUUCAGCAGCACAUAUAUUAAAACUAGAGUGCUAUAGAGAUUAGAAUGGUCCUUAUGUAAAAAUGAUAUGUAAAUUUGUGAUGCAGUCCAUAUUUUU